rnacentral:rRNA from 1 species
UACGAAGGGGGGCUAGCGUUGUUCGGAAUUACUGGGCGUAAAGGGCGCGCAGGCGGCUCUUCAAGUCAGAUGUGAAAGCCCCGGGCUCAACCUGGGAACUGCAUUUGAGACUGGAGAGCUUGAGUUCGGGAGAGGAUGGUGGAAUUCCCAGUGUAGAGGUGAAAUUCGUAGAUAUUGGGAAGAACACCGGUGGCGAAGGCGGCCAUCUGGACCGAGUACUGACGCUGAGGAGCGAAAGCGAUGGGGAGCGAACGAGGA